rnacentral:ncRNA from 1 species
CGUCGAAGUGAAUUCGUUCUGAUCAACUCCUGAUAACGAAACGAGACUCAAAUAAUAUUCAAAUAGAUAUCCUUCAGGAACUAUGGUGCUGAAGCUCAUGUAGGCUUCAUUCAUGGUGGCAGUAAAAUGUUUUUCGUGUUUGAAUGUGUUUAUGUAAGUGAAAGCCGUACCUGUUGGUUUGUCCCAUUAUAAGGACACUAGCUUCUUAAAUGGACAAAUUGCGUCUAGCAAUAAUGAGAUUGAGCAAUCACAGGUCUGUGAUGCCCUUAGAUGUCCUGGGCUGCACGCGCGCUACAAUGAAAGUAUCAACGUGUAUCUCGUAGACCGAGAGGUCCGUGUAAACCGCUGAACCACUUUCAUGCUUGAGAUUGUGAACUGAAACUGUUCACAUGAACUUGGAAUUCCCAGUAAGUGUGAGUCAUUAACUCGCAUUGAUUACGUCCCUGCCCUUUGUACACACCGCCCGUCGCUACUACCGAUUGAAUUAUUUAGUGAGGUCUCCGGACGUGAUCACUGUGACGCCUUGCGUGUUACGGUUGUUUCGCAAAAGUUGACCGAACUUGAUUAUUUAGAGGAAGUAAAAGUCGUAACAAGGUUUCCGUAGGUGAACCUGCGGAAGGAUCAUUA